rnacentral:rRNA from 1 species
AGUGAACGCUGGCGGUAGGCCUAACACAUGCAAGUCGAACGGCAGCACAGGAGAGCUUGCUCUCUGGGUGGCGAGUGGCGGACGGGUGAGGAAUACGUCGGAAUCUACUCUGUCGUGGGGGAUAACGUAGGGAAACUUACGCUAAUACCGCAUACGACCUACGGGUGAAAGCAGGGGAUCUUCGGACCUUGCGCGAUCGAAUGAGCCGAUGUCGGAUUAGCUAGUUGGCGGGGUAAAGGCCCACCAAGGCGACGAUCCGUAGCUGGUCUGAGAGGAUGAUCAGCCACACUGGAACUGAGACACGGUCCAGACUCCUACGGGAGGCAGCAGUGGGGAAUAUUGGACAAUGGGCGCAAGCCUGAUCCAGCCAUACCGCGUGGGUGAAGAAGGCCUUCGGGUUGUAAAGCCCUUUUGUUGGGAAAGAAAUCCAGCUGGCUAAUACCCGGUUGGGAUGACGGUACCCAAAGAAUAAGCACCGGCUAACUUCGUGCCAGCCGCCGCCGUAA